rnacentral:misc_RNA from 1 species
GAUGAAGAACGUAGCGAAAUGCGAUAAGUAAUGUGAAUUGCAGAAUUCAGUGAAUCAUCGAAUCUUUGAACGCACAUUGCGCCCCCUGGUAUUCCGGGGGGCAUGCCUGUUCGAGCGUCAUUUCACCACUCAAGCCUCGCUUGGUAUUGGGCAACGCGGUCCGCCGCGUGCCUCAAAUCGACCGGCUGGGUCUUCUGUCCCCUAAGCGUUGUGGAAACUAUUCGCUAAAGGGUGUUCGGGAGGCUACGCCGUAAAACAACCCCAUUUCUAAGGUUGACCUCGGAUCAGGUAGGGAUACCCGCUGAACUUAAACAUAUCAAUAAGCGGAGGA